rnacentral:rRNA from 1 species
CCUACGGUAGGCAGCAGUGAGGAAUAUUGGUCAAUGGGCGAGAGCCUGAACCAGCCAAGUCGCGUGAAGGAUGAAGGCCCUACGGGUUGUAAACUUCUUUUGUCAGGGAGCAAUUUGGUCCACGCGUGGGCUUCGCGAGAGUACCUGAAGAAAAAGCAUCGGCUAACUCCGUGCCAGCAGCCGCGGUAAUACGGAGGAUGCGAUCGUUAUCCGGAUUUAUUGGGUUUAAAGGGUGCGUAGGCGGAAUAUCAAGUCAGCGGUAAAAAUUCGGGGCUCAACCCCGUCGUGCCGUUGAAACUGGUGUUCGUGAGUGGGCGAGAAGUAUGCGGAAUGCGUGGUGUAGCGGUGAAAUGCAUAGAUAUCACGCAGAACCCCGAUUGCGAAGGCAGCAUACCGGCGCCCUACUGACGCCGAGGCACGAAAGUGCGGGUAUCGAACAGGAUUAGAUACCCCUGUAGUC